UGGAACAGUGUCUGCAGAAAUUUGAAGAAAUUAAAGAAACAAGUGUAUGUGUGGAAAAGUAGUUCAUUUGUAGCCAUGCAAUCUAUGACAAGGAACCAGGCUAUAUCUGGAGGAAUGUACAAAAAGAUACCCCACAGGGUAAGAGACAGCAAUAACUCCAGAGACUAACCAUUGCAGAAGACCCUGAGGUAGGGACUCAGCAAAGAACUUACCACUUCAAACUCUGGCCUGGUUAUCAAAGCAGAAUUCAUCUGUGAACCAGCCUGGCAUCCAAGCUGGACAAUUUUGUGAAGGUUUAUACCGGCCAGGCGCAUUGGAAUCUCUGAUUGGUAUACAAAACUCUCCGGUGUUGUGGAAGGGAAACUCAUAACCAAAUCUGGAACGAGCCUUGGACUUCUGUGUGCUUUCAAUGCAUUGAGAGGGAGCAUUUGAUGGCUCUGAGAAGCUUGAAUCCCUUUAUCGGGAACCUGCAGAAGCUCAGCAAAAAUGGCAGAAGAAGCACAGAAACUCCCAGAACCACCCAGUUACCAUCAAGCCCCACCUUGGUAGAGAAUACAGAUCCUGCUUAAGACUUUUCAGCUGCAUCAGGACCUACAGAAAUCCUUGACUCUGAAGGGCUGCCUAAGAAGAAGGGAAUACACCAGCCUGCUGGAAUCAUUGUCUUUGAUAACCAAACCUGUUUUUUUAAAAUUAAAAAUGCUCAAUUACAAAGAAUGCCCUCACCCCAUGGCUCAGCUCAAGGCCUCUUGCUUCAAAGUAAGAAUGCUGCAAGUUAAGUACCAAAUUUAACUCAAGUGUCUAAUCUGAUACCCUGUUCAGCACUGGGGAAGUGCUGGAGUGUUCCGCUGCGGUACUGAAGGAGAUGUUUAACAGAACUGUCUGCUCUCAGGUGUGUGUAAAAAAUCCAUGGCACUACUUCAGACUCCAGUGGGGGAGGCAUUGCUGGUGUCCUUGCCAGCUGUUAUCCUUCAUUCAACUUUAACGGAAUAGACUAUCUUGUCAUUAGCACAUUGCUGUUAAGGUGACUUCCCUGUGUCUAACUGCCUGCCUGUUGCUUUUACAUAGAACAUUGAACAGUACAACACAGGAAAAGGCCUUCGGCCCAUGAUGUCUGUGCUGACCAUGAUGCCUAUUUAAGCUAA